GUGUUAGUGGAAGCCUCUGGAAAGUGGCGCGAUACAGGGUGAUAGCCCCGUACACGACAAUGCUUUUAUUGUGAAAACGAGUAGGACGGGACACGUGGUAUCCUGUCUGAACAUGGGGGGACCAUCCUCCAAGGCUAAAUACUCCUGACUGACCGAUAGUGAACCAGUACCGUGAGGGAAAGGCGAAAAGAACCCCUGUGAGGGGAGUGAAAUAGAACCUGAAACCGUGUACGUACAAGCAGUGGGAGCCUCUUCGUGGGGUGACUGCGUACCUUUUGUAUAAUGGGUCAGCGACUUACUUUUAGUAGCAAGGUUAACCGAAUAGGGGAGCCGUAGGGAAACCGAGUCUUAACUGGGCGAAUAAGUUGCUAGGAGUAGACCCGAAACCGAGUGAUCUAGCCAUGGGCAGGUUGAAGAUUGAGUAACAUCAAUUGGAGGACCGAACCGACUAAUGUUGAAAAAUUAGCGGAUGACUUGUGGCUAGGGGUGAAAGGCC
rnacentral:rRNA from 1 species